UACGGAGGGGGCUAGCGUUGUUCGGAAUUACUGGGCGUAAAGGGCGCGUAGGCGGACCUUCAAGUCAGGGGUGAAAGGCCUGGGCUCAACCCGGGAACUGCCUUUGAAACUGAGGGCCUAGAGUCCGAGAGAGGAUAGCGGAAUUCCCAGUGUAGAGGUGAAAUUCGUAGAUAUUGGGAAGAACACCGGUGGCGAAGGCGGCUAUCUGGCUCGGUACUGACGCUGAGGAGCGAAAGCGUGGGGAGCAAACAGG
rnacentral:rRNA from 1 species